AGCGAACGCUGGCGGCAGGCUUAACACAUGCAAGUCGAACGGGCUUCUUCGGAAGUCAGUGGCAGACGGGUGAGUAACACGUGGGAACGUGCCCUUCGGUUCGGAAUAACUCAGGGAAACUUGAGCUAAUACCGGAUACGCCCUUUUGGGGAAAGGUUGACUGCCGAAGGAUCGGCCCGCGUCUGAUUAGCUUGUUGGUGGGGUAACGGCCUACCAAGGCGACGAUCAGUAGCUGGUCUGAGAGGAUGAUCAGCCACACUGGGACUGAGACACGGCCCAGACUCCGACGGGAGGCAGCAGUGGGGAAUAUUGGAGAAUGGGCGCAAGCUGGAUCCCGCCAUGCCGCGUGAGUGAUGAAGGGCUUAGGGUAGUAAAGCUCCUUUGUCCGGGACGAUAAGGACGGGACCGGAAGAAUAAGCCCCGGCUACCUGCGU
rnacentral:rRNA from 1 species